AGCUUUGUGGAGUGGCAGGGCCGUAGCCAAUGAGGUUUAGCUGAGGCACGAUUAUUGCUAAUUAAAGUCACAGGCAGCAAAGCCCUAGGAGAGCCAUCGUGCAGAGGACACUACACCAACUUUUUGGCCAACCCUCUAUUCUGAGU